CAAGCUUUUCAUUGGUGGCCUCAAUAGGGAAACCAAUGAAAAGAUGCUUAAAGCAGUAUUUGAGAAACAUGGUCCCAUAUCAGAAGUUCUUUUGAUAAAGGAUCGAACCAGCAAAUCCAGAGGCUUUGCAUUUAUUACUUUUGAGAACCCUGCAGAUGUUAAGAAUGCUGCCAAAGAUAUGAAUGGAGAGAAAUCAUCCAAGCUCCCAAGAAACCAGGGAUUAUGCUCCACCAUCUAGAGGCUAUGCAUACUGUGAUAAUGGUCACUCUAGUCGGGAUGAACAUUCCUCUAGAGGAUAUAGUGAUAGUGGUGGCUACGACGAAACCCGUGGUAGAGAUCAUUCUGAUCGUACAAGUGGAAGUUCUUACAAAAAUGAAUUUCAGGGAUAUGGGACCUCUCAUGGUGCACCACCUGCAAGAGGGCCUCGGAUGUCUUAUGGUGGAAGCAGCCACCCUGAUUAUAACAAUACACGAGAUACAUAGGGCAGAAGUCAAGAAAGUUACUCAAGAAGCUGCGGUGAUUUUUACUUUUGUG